UUACAAAAUGGCUCAUCUGUCGCUAACUAGAGGCUUAAAAAUAUUUGUUCUUCGACAUUAAUUCAUAAUAAUUUUGUGAAUUUCGAUUGCAGUUCUACAUUCUAUUACUGAUUAUGAAAAGGCAGCUGUGUUGUAUAAAUUAUAAAACGCUAAAGAUUAAUGUACAGAAAGAAGGAACUAUUUGGCCAUUGUAACCGUGAUUGGUAUUCCCCACGUGGUAAUCAAAAGACAAAACUGUUAGACAUUUAGAUAAUUUCUUCCGUACCAACUAUUCUAUCUUCGUUUUGACAAGGUCUUCCUAAUUUCUUAUUUGAAUUUUUCCAUACAGAAUAGAAAUGAUAGAUAUUUAAACUGUAGGCUGCCAAGCAAAACGCUACAAUUUCUAUGCCAAAAAAUGGAAACACUGCACUUGUACGUUGGUGUUUAUUGAGAACAUUCAAAUUAAUAGCUUUGUUGCAUAUUUUUAUUCUAUUUCAGCCCAUUUAAAAGGUUUUGGCAACACUAUCCUGUUACAUGGAGGUUUUUUCCAGCUUUAAUGUACAUUCGUCUUUGGCAAUUGGUACUGCAGAUGCUUGAUUCACUAUUUUAUGAUUUGUGAAAUGAUAUGCUGACUCAUUGAAGUGAUGGCAGUCUAUUCCUGAAUGUAGGACCAUUGCAUUUUAGCAAAUCCUUUGAAGAAGGAAAACAACCAUUGUUUUUCGUGGAUCAACAAAUGAGUGUGGUAUGACACUCCUUAAAAACCAUACUGCCAUCAAAUAUUAGUGAAAAGCAGCUGCUAUUCAAACAGUUUUUUAUAAUGCCGCGUCAAUGGCAAAGCAAAACCCCAAAACAGCCAUGAGAAAGUAUACCUAGGGACGAUCUGAGGUCACUGGACUACCUCGCACUUAAUGGAUUCGCAUUGGCCAGGAGAUUUAGCUUAAAACUGACUUGGCUGAAAGGACCGGUACCAUUUCCUGUUCUCGAAAGGGCAUGCCGUUCCACACUGCUAUUAAUUCGGUUGGUUAUUGCUUCUGGAAUUACCAUCUACGACGCUCUAUGUAAAAGUUAACUACAACGAAUACUUGUACUUGUACUUGAGCAAUUAGGUAAAUGAAAUGUUUCUUUAUUUUAAUUUGAUUCUUUCACCGCAGAUGGCGAAUUUGGUUUUUAAACGAAAGCUCCACCCCAUUAACGACGUGACGUAAUUUUUCUUGCCUACCCUUCUUUUCUUUGUUCCAAGAACCAUAAAGGUCAAGUCCAAAAUCCACUUUGCUUUGUCGUCAUCGUGUCUCUGGGUAGAUGAGUUACCUGUACCGCUUCUCCGCAGUAAUUACUUUUCCCUCCCUACCCCUCUGCUAUUCAUCCCCUAGACGUUUUAUUUUCUGUCUAAAUGGCUGUUGACACCACACUAGCCGAAUCAGGAUGGCGAAUUUUAAUUGAAAUGGCGCGUUCGGAAGGUCUACCCUUUUUCGAGCAAAUGCAAGUUCGUGAAAAUGAGUUCCCUCAGCUGGAAAUCUGGCCGCCAUUCCAUCGGGCUUUCAUUGUUGCAGUCUCGGCCGACCCUCGAUGCUCUUACAAAACCCAUCUGAUGAGGAUGAUUGUGCUCCACGAUCUCAGAUUUAUUUUUGAAGUUGUUGGUCAAGUACAUCACGUGGGUUCUUUCUUCACCGACAAUAGGAUUGACGAAAAUCAGAUGCGAUCAGAGCUCGGGAAGCUCAUGACGGCUACUGUUUGUAAAGGACGUCGUCCGAUCGAGGUAUACGAAGGCCCUAAUGUGACAGAAGUCAUGAGGCAAGGAAUGGCUGAUGGAAAUUAUUCCACUGCUGCUGAUUAUCGCUAUCGUUCGGCAGGCUGCGAACUGUUAGUUGAUCAACCUGGCCAAACAAGAUGUUCGUCUUGUUUGCAGUCGCUUGAAGAUUAAUUUCUUGUAACUGAAUUACGGCAAGAAACGAUGUACAUGUUUACAAGAUGAAUCGUCUGAUGCAAAAUGGUAUGCCUUUUGUUUUCCUUACUUUUCUUUCCUUAUUACAAUUUUGGGACAAUAAAUAGAGAAAGAUGAAAGGCGUUACCUGGAUCUGUGUGGUUUGAGCAAUAGUUGUGUAAAUCUAACUGAGACCGAUUCUUAGAACUUUUAUAACUGUUCUUUUAUGGUUCUAGGAACUUCUGAUUGUUGGAGGCAUUGAGCUUGGAGAUUGUACGGCUUCCAUACUCCACUCUUUUACUCUUGCUGUUGUCCUAUUCGCAUGUUCGCAUCCAUUAGAAUGCGGUCUAAAUGGCAUUGCCAAUUCAUCAAUGUAACUAAUUUAUCAACUGACAAUUUAAAUUGAUUCUAGCUCAUUUCAAAAAUCGAAAUCGAAGCUCUUCCAUAGCAAGAUGAUCAUCAAGUGUCCCGCUGAUACGUUCAACCACAGCCAAAAUUAGUUACAGCUUGCUGUGGUGUUUUCGGGGUCAGUCACCAAAGAACUUGGAUUACAGAUCCAUUUGGGAAAUUAGCAUGCCAUGUACACCUCAAUUAAUGCUUUUUAUUGUCUGUUAGUGAUAAUUUCCUGCAAUCGCUGGGAAUGUGUUGUAAGCACUUAGGAUUUUAGAUGUUGGUUUUUUGUCACAGGCAGGAUAAGUCGUAUUCGAUUUUGUGCAGACUUAGUCCCACUUCUACAUUAGAAGCAAGAUAUUGAAAAAGUAACCUCAUCUGAAAGAAUGAUAAAAGUCGAGUGUUUUGCUUUGGCAUGUCUUAAUUUGAAACUGAGCAGUAAUUGGAAAAGCGGAUAUUGGACGCCACUAAUACUUUUAGAACGAGGACAAGAUCGCAAGUGUUCCACCUCGCAAUAAGAUGAGAUGCAACUUUAGAAGAAAAAUAGGUCACCGGUAGAAGAAAUAGAAAUUAGAAGCACUGCAACUCUAAGCUGCUUAAACUGGCAUCAGUAUCCAAAGCAACAAAUGUUCACUGAAUUUUACUUGGAUGAGAGGUGUUCCGUAAGAUAUAUCUUAGUGAAAUAGUUGUUUAGGGUUUUCCAUGUUCAAGAACCACAGGCUCCUGACUGACUACAAAACUACGCAAUACAUUCCUGCUGUUUGCUCUUUAAGGAAUCUUUGGAAGGAUUUCACCACACGAAAAUAGUUUUGUGCUAGGAGCUUUCUCAAAUGAGAUAAUCUUGGAAAUCAAGUUGGUUGUCUAAAGGUACUAAAGAAUUACUCGGUUUCUAUCUGAAUUUUCGUUGUUACAUUUUUUAUUGGUGAUAAACGAAUGAAGGAGAAAAACUUGCUUUGCCAACGGAAUGUAUUUCGUUAUAAACUGCUUUUUAAUACCAGGAGAAUUUUGGAAACAGCAGAGCCAUCUUUUUCGAGAUUUCCUUAGGUUUCACCGCGUGGAAUGGUUUGCGGAGCCGGGGUCAGUGGUUGGCAUUUUUGACUCUCGUUGUCAUUUGCUUGACCGAUGACGAUCAUCCCAAUGAAUGUUCCCAAACAAAUAAUUGCUACUACCACGCAAAUCGCAUUAUGGUUUGAAAUAAUGAAAUCCGAGGCUUUUUUCCGGAAAAUUUCCAGCUUGCUCGUUGGUGGUAGAUCCAUUGUAAGAGAGCUAUCCAAUUGUGCUGCAAUGCAACGGUGAGUGAGCAAAGGAAUGCUGUAUCACGCUCAGCAGACGAUUGCAACGGACCAUGGCCUACUGUAAUAAAGGUAUCCCCUUUUUUCGUAAAAUUGUGUUAUUUCUUCGUGUUCGUAACACCAUGCUACAGAGAAAAGACAUGAAGCAUGUGACUGACCUCCAAUUCAAUUUAUCUUCAUAUACUUUUCCUUUUUAUGUGUCUUUUUCAUUUCUAUCGAUUCGGACAUCUGUGGAAGAAAAACAAUUCCUGUAAAUGGAUAAAAUUUUAUUAUUCUUCAAGGUAGCACUCAAUGCUGUCCUCUUGACUGCAGACAUCUAUAUAGUACAGCCUAACAGAGCCAAAGAUCUGCUCCCCUUAGUGGGCAUAUUACAGAAUUUGUCUACUGGGAGUUUCACGUUGGCUAGGAAUCAUCUUCAGAAAACCAUUAAUACUCUCUGCGCCACCCACAAUGUUCCAAAAAUGGAUGAACUUUUUCUUUUUAGUACAAACAAGCAAAUUCAUUAGCAGUAGAUGCAGUAGAUAUUCAGCCACAAAUUGUUUUUAAAAAAUUGAUAUUUUGUGUUUCACAUAAUAGAGCCACUGAAAUUGACUUCUGGGAAAGGACUCAGGUUUAACAAGUUUUGGUCAUUCUCAUAUCAUGUACUCUCCACCCAAUUGUAGUGCAAGCAACUUACCGUUUUGCCUCCCACCUCAUGUCUCAACCUUCUUACCAAAAGCUGUAGCAGUUAAUGACAUUACUGGACAUUCAUCCCAAGCACAUGCAGAAACGAAGAUUUACAAAUGACAUGGAUUGUGUUCUUAUUGUCAUUAUGCAACCAAUACUAGCAGCUAGAUAAACUGUUCCCAAUAACCCAUGCAUAUUGUUUAGGGUAAUUGGCAAUGAAACACAAGAAUGCCGUUAUCAGGAGCACCACCAUUUAGGCAGAUACAGAUGGUUAUUACAAGUUGUUGAAUGUAAC